rnacentral:rRNA from 1 species
UAAUUGGGCGUUAAGUUGCAGGGUAUAGACCCGAAACCCGGUGAUCUAGCCAUGGGCAGGUUGAAGGUUGGGUAACACUAACUGGAGGACCGAACCGACUAAUGUUGAAAAAUUAGCGGAUGACCUGUGGCUGGGGGUGAAAGGCCAAUCAAACCGGGAGAUAGCUGGUUCUCCCCGAAAGCUAUUUAGGUAGCGCCUCGUGAAUUCAUCUCCGGGGGUAGAGCACUGUUUCGGCUAGGGGGCCAUCCCGGCUUACCAACCCGAUGCAAACUGCGAAUACCGGAGAAUGUUAUCACGGGAGACACACGGCGGGUGCUAACGUCCGUCGUGAAGAGGGAAACAACCCAGACCGCCAGCUAAGGUCCCAAAGUCAUGGUUAAGUGGGAAACGAUGUGGGAAGGCCCAGACAGCCAGGAUGUUGGCUUAGAAGCAGCCAUCAUUUAAAGAAAGCGUAAUAGCUCACUGGUCGAGUCGGCCUGCGCGGAAGAUGUAACGGGGCUAAACCAUGCACCGAAGCUGCGGCAGCGACGCUGAUGCGUUGUUGGGUAGGGGAGCGUUCUGUAAGCCUGCGAAGGUGGCCUGUGAGGGUUGCUGGAGGUAUCAGAAGUGCGAAUGCUGACAUAAGUAACGAUAAAGCGGGUGAAAAGCCCGCUCGCCGGAAGACCAAGGGUUCCUGUCCAACGUUAAUCGGGGCAGGGUGAGUCGACCCCUAAGGCGAGGCCGAAAGGCGUAGUCGAUGGGAAACGGGUUAAUAUUCCCGUACUUGGUGUUACUGCGAAGGGGGGACGGAGAAGGCUAUGUUGGCCGGGCGACGGUUGUCCCGGUUUAAGCGUGUAGGUGUGUGUUCCAGGUAAAUCCGGUUCACUUUAACACUGAGGCGUGACGACGAGGCACUACGGUGCUGAAGCAACAAAUGCCCUGCUUCCAGGAAAAGCCUCUAAGCAUCAGGUAACAUCAAAUCGUACCCCAAACCGACACAGGUGGUCAGGUAGAGAAUACCAAGGCGCUUGAGAGAACUCGGGUGAAGGAACUAGGCAAAAUGGUGCCGUAACUUCGGGAGAAGGCACGCUGAUAUGUAGGUGAAGUGAUUUACUCAUGGAGCUGAA